rnacentral:rRNA from 1 species
GAUCCUGGCUCAGGAUGAACGCUAGCUACAGGCUUAACGCAUGCAAGUCGAGGGGCAGCAUGACGAUAGCUUGCUAUUGUUGAUGGCGACCGGCGCACGGGUGAGUAACGCGUAUCCAACCUUCCCGUUGCUAGGGGAUAACCUUGCGAAAGUAAGACUAAUACCCUAUGAAGUUCUUCGCAGACAUCUAAAGAGAACAAAAGAUUUAUCGGCAACGGAUGGGGAUGCGUCUGAUUAGG